AACUGAUUAAUUUUUCAUUUUUAAUGUUAACGACCGUUACCAAAUAAAUAAGUGAACGCAAGAAAAGUGGUCAGGUUUUGGCCUGACCAACCUGACCGGUUCCGCCGGCCCUGGCUUCUAAUUGUCAAUAGGAGAGGACAGUUGUUCCCAGUGUUACGAUUUGCUUGUCAACGAAGUGAUUAUAAGCAACAAAAACCGUUAUAAUCUCCAAAAGGUUUUCUUUCCUGCAAACUAUUCUAACCCUGUGUUUGUAAGGGUUACCUAUCAUUUUACUCAAAACCCAGACGGUCCUACAGACUAUUUGGAGGAAGGUUCAACUCAAGUAUGGUUUUGGACGGAAUCGACAUUCUAUCUCUUCCAACCAAUAGCAAGUUUGCAGUUCACUUCUCUCCUGUUUUCUGACACAACGUUAAGUUCAAAUAAAAUCGAUUUGUAUUUACAGCCAAGUUGUGAAAACAGUAGUAUCGAUAUGAUGCAGCUACUAACUCAAAGGUUAAAGUCGUAUACAGCUAUGCAAACUAUUGCUGCUCCAAUUAGCGAUGAUUACGAUGCAAAAGGAGAGAGCUUAGAAACAUUGUUAAAGUUUCACAAUGGUAGUUAUAUCGAUGGAGGUCAACAUCUUAGCUAUUAUACAUUUGCUUUCCACUUUGUAUUCCCAUUUCUUGGAGUUUUGUUCGUUGCGAAUCUGCUACAUCAUUUUGUAGAAAACAAUAAACUUAUUUUUGUGAGGAGUGACAAGUCUGCAGACAAUGACAGCCAUGGUCUGGGAGAGUUAAAGAUUUCAACUGUCAAUAUGACUGUAUAUAUCAGUGUAACUUGUUGUUUUCUUUUUGUGCUUUUUGUGAUUGUACUUGAUUGCAUUGGAGUCAAUAAACGGGUCUUCUUUGUACAAGACGAAAUUUAUUAUUUUCCCGAAGCAAAGAGUGGAAAUGAGUCAUCUGUAAUGACUCUAAUCCUGGAAUUUAGUGUACCUGGUUUGAUGCUUGCUGAAGAUUUGCUUGUACUCGUUUUAAUGUUUUUGAUGUGUAUACGCAAGUUGUGUACUCGUACUAAAUCUACUGAUAAACAGUGUUGUAAAGGAUGCAGCUGCUUAGGACAGUCGUGCAAGUUGUCUUUAGGAUCCAACAAGAAGUGGUACAACAUUAUAAUGGGGCCAAUUUCUUGCUUGCUUAUCCAUUCAUAUCAUAUCCUGGUGGGAUUCAUUCAUACACCACACCAUGCAACAAGCAUGCUGGUUUUCUACGGACUUAUGAUUGUUACUUUUAUCUUAACAUUAAAGGCUGCCUAUUAUAACUUAUUUAAGUUGUACCAAUGGCAUCAGAGGCAGUCCACAUGUAACUGUAUUUGCAGGAUAUUGUUUUGUCUUUGGCCUUGUGUUAUCGAUGAGGAUGAAGGUCAAGGGACAAUCGUGGAGAAUGACAGUGAAGGGACAAUCACGCGCGAGUGGAAUGAAGAGCGUGAGAGGCAAUCCCGAUGUAACAAAAUCUGCAGAGCAAUAGUUUGCUGUUGUCCUAUUAUGAAGGAAGAGGAAAGUACUCAGACGGGUGAAAGUAAUCAGGUGGAUAAAGGUAAAUGCUGUUAUUGCCCUUUUGUUAUUAAAAAGAAAGAAGAUGAGGAAGCUAAUUGCAUCAAAAGGUCUAAAACUAAAUGUGCACGCUGUUGUUAUUCAAGUUUCUUGAUUUUUUGUUUCUAUUGGUUUUGCCGGACUAAAAACAAUCAACAUUGUUGUGCCCUACUGCUCAUCUUUGGUUUGUCUAUCUUGACAGGCUUGGUUUUUGUUUAUAUAGCAUUCCUGUUUAUCUUAGUGCCAAUCAACCACGUUAUUGAUGAUGCACCAGCACGAAUCCUCAGCAUCAACCAGACCAUAGUUAUUCUCUUUGGAGCUGCCAUAACUUACAAGAUUUACCAAGAUAGGAAGUUUGAGACGUUUCUCGACUACUUGGUGAGAGCUGUCACCAAUAAAGAUAAAAUAGAAGAUCGUCACUUCAAGGACAUUAAAACAGACGCCUGGGAAAAGAUGAGCCGUAAUGAGAGACGCAAAGAAGUGGCUUACGUUGCUCUUAGUGCUAUGUAUGAAACAGCCAAAGUUAUACCUAACAACGCAGGGUGACUGAUUGAACACUUAAAAACGCUAUUGAAGUACAAUGGCUAUAGACUACUACUGAUUCGAAUCGUAUAGAAACUCUUUUUAACUAUGUGUUUUAAGUGUGUUGUCAUUCCAUAAUAGCUGUUCUAGACUGUACUUGUAGCCUUUUGUUUAUACGGUAGUAUAAUAUAUUGUAGCUAAUUUAUCUGUCAUUCGGUUGAGAUCUGUUGCUACAGUGUUGAAACAAUAAUUAUAACCAU